AACGAACGCUGGCGGCAUGCCUAACACAUGCAAGUCGAACGAGAAGUCCGGGUCGAGGGUCGCCCGGGGGCGUAAGGGGGGGGAACAUGCCCUUAGGUUCGGCAUAACUCUCCGAAAGGGGUGCGAAUACGGGACAAUGUCUGGGGACCCAAGAUUUAUCGCCUUUGGAGGGGCCCGAGUUGGAUUAGCUAGUUGGUAGGGUAAAAGCCUACCACGGCGACGAUCCAUAGCUGGUUUGUGAGGCUGCUCAGCGACACUGGGACUGGGACCCGGCCCAGACUCCUGCGGGAGGCGGGAAUGGGUGAUCUAGGAGCGUGGGCGAAAUCCUGAUCCACCACUGCCGCGUGAGUGAUGUAGGCCUUAGGGUUCUAAUGCUCUUUUAACCAGGCUGAUAAUGACGGUACCGGGAGAAUAAGCUCCGGCUAACUACGUG
rnacentral:rRNA from 1 species